AGGAUGAACGCUGGCGGCGUGCUUAACACAUGCAAGUCACGGGGGCCCAGCAAUGGGCAACCGGCGAACGGGUGCGUAACACGUGAGCAAUCUACCGAAAUGAGGGGGAUAGCCGGCCCAACGGCCGGGUAAUACCGCAUACGCUCGAGACCAGGCAUUUGGACUCGAGGAAACCUCCGGGGCAUUUCGAGGAGCUCGCGGCCUAUCAGCUAGUUGGUGAGGUAACGGCUCACCAAGGCGACGACGGGUA
rnacentral:rRNA from 1 species